CUAUUUCCUUCACGCUGCACAGAUCACGUUUCCCCUUCACUCUGACGUACGCAAAGUUUUACGAAGUUAAUUCAUCAUGGGUAAAGAGAAGAGUCACAUAAACAUUGUGGUUAUCGGCCAUGUCGACUCUGGAAAGUCGACCACAACUGGACACCUGAUUUACAAGCUUGGAGGUAUCGACAAGCGUGUGAUCGAAAGGUUCGAGAAAGAGGCAGCUGAAAUGAACAAGAGGUCGUUCAAGUACGCCUGGGUGCUCGACAAGCUCAAGGCCGAGCGCGAGCGUGGUAUCACCAUUGACAUUGCCUUGUGGAAAUUCGAGACCACAAAGUACUACUGCACUGUCAUUGACGCUCCAGGACACAGAGAUUUCAUCAAGAACAUGAUCACCGGAACUUCACAGGCCGACUGCGCCGUCCUCAUCAUCGACUCCACCACCGGUGGUUUCGAAGCCGGCAUAUCAAAGGACGGCCAGACGCGUGAGCACGCGCUGCUUGCUUUCACUCUCGGCGUAAAGCAAAUGAUCUGUUGCUGCAAUAAGAUGGAUGCCACCACGCCAAAAUACUCCAAAGCAAGGUACGAUGAAAUCGUCAAGGAAGUCUCCUCCUACCUCAAGAAGGUCGGAUACAACCCAGACAAAAUCCCCUUCGUCCCCAUCUCCGGUUUCGAAGGCGACAACAUGAUCGAAAGAUCCACCAACCUCGAUUGGUACAAAGGCCCGACUCUCCUCGAAGCUCUCGACCAAAUCCAGGAGCCAAAAAGGCCCUCAGACAAGCCCCUCCGCCUCCCCCUCCAAGACGUGUACAAAAUCGGCGGCAUCGGUACCGUCCCCGUCGGCCGUGUCGAAACCGGCACGCUCAAGCCAGGCAUGUUGGUCACCUUCGGCCCGACCGGAUUAACCACCGAAGUCAAGUCCGUCGAAAUGCACCACGAAGCCCUCCAGGAGGCCCUCCCCGGCGACAACGUCGGAUUCAACGUGAAAAACGUUGCAGUGAAGGAUCUCAAGCGUGGGUACGUGGCGUCGAACUCGAAAGACGACCCUGCGAAGGAGGCUGCGAACUUCACGUCGCAGGUGAUCAUCAUGAACCACCCUGGGCAGAUCGGGAACGGGUACGCCCCGGUCCUGGACUGCCACACCUCCCACAUUGCUGUGAAAUUUGCAGAACUGGUGACGAAGAUCGACAGGCGGUCGGGUAAGGAGCUGGAGAAGGAGCCCAAGUUCUUGAAGAAUGGAGAUGCAGGGUACAUAAAGAUGGUUCCGACGAAGCCGAUGGUGGUGGAGACGUUCUCGGAGUACCCGCCGCUGGGGCGGUUCGCGGUGAGGGACAUGAGGCAGACGGUGGCGGUGGGGGUGAUCAAGAGUGUGGAGAAGAAAGAGCCGUCGGGGGCUAAGGUGACCAAGGCUGCGGCCAAGAAGGGCGCCAAGUGAAUGGUGCAGGAGCAGGAGCAGGUUAGAGUUAUUAUUAUUAAUGGGUUUGAUUUGAAUAAUAAUAAUAGUAAUAAUAAUAGUGAAGGUAAUAAUAAGAAUGGAAGAAGUAAGGUUUAUUUAGAGUUAUGUUUUUUAAUGGUGGGUAGCAGUAGCAGUAGCAGUAGGAGGUGGUGCCGCCUCCGUCUCCGCCUCCUUGCGGUGGUCCUCCAGUCGCAAAACUGGGUUCUGGACCGGCGGUGGCGACGCUGCUUUUCGACCUUUGUUUCGUGAUGCAUUUGGGAUCAACUAAAAAGUACUCCUAUUUCGCAACUAUGGGGUGGAGCAAAGACUGAAUCUAAUAAUUAUUAUUAUUAUUAUUUUUUAAAAAAACGAAUGUGUUAGUUUUUAUUCUUCUAAUCAAACUAAUGAAGUAUGGGUCUCAUGCAAUA